rnacentral:rRNA from 1 species
ACACAUGCAAGUCGAACGGCAGCACGGGUGCUUGCACCUGGUGGCGAGUGGCGAACGGGUGAGUAAUACAUCGGAACAUGUCCUGUAGUGGGGGAUAGCCCGGCGAAAGCCGGAUUAAUACCGCAUACGAUCUAUGGAUGAAAGCGGGGGACCUUCGGGCCUCGCGCUAUAGGGUUGGCCGAUGGCUGAUUAGCUAGUUGGUGGGGUAAAGGCCUACCAAGGCGACGAUCAGUAGCUGGUCUGAGAGGACGACCAGCCACACUGGGACUGAGACACGGCCCAGACUCCUACGGGAGGCAGCAGUGGGGAAUUUUGGACAAUGGGCGAAAGCCUGAUCCAGCAAUGCCGCGUGUGUGAAGAAGGCCUUCGGGUUGUAAAGCACUUUUGUCCGGAAAGAAAUCCUUGGUUCUAAUAUAGCCGGGGGAUGACGGUACCGGAAGAAUAAGCACCGGCUAACUACGUGCCAGCAGCCGCGGUAAUACGUAGGGUGCGAGCGUUAAUCGGAAUUACUGGGCGUAAAGCGUGCGCAGGCGGUUUGCUAAGACCGAUGUGAAAUCCCCGGGCUCAACCUGGGAACUGCAUUGGUGACUGGCAGGCUAGAGUAUGGCAGAGGGGGGUAGAAUUCCACGUGUAGCAGUGAAAUGCGUAGAGAUGUGGAGGAAUACCGAUGGCGAAGGCAGCCCCCUGGGCCAAUACUGACGCUCAUGCACGAA